rnacentral:rRNA from 1 species
UCUAUAACCCUUUGUGACAUACCUACAACUGUUGCUUCGGCGGGUAGGGUCUCCGUGACCCUCCCGGCCUCCCGCCCCCGGGCGGGUCGGCGCCCGCCGGAGGAUAACCAAACUCUGAUUUAACGACGUUUCUUCUGAGUGGUACAAGCAAAUAAUCAAAACUUUUAACAACGGAUCUCUUGGUUCUGGCAUCGAUGAAGAACGCAGCGAAAUGCGAUAAGUAAUGUGAAUUGCAGAAUUCAGUGAAUCAUCGAAUCUUUGAACGCACAUUGCGCCCGCCAGCAUUCUGGCGGGCAUGCCUGUUCGAGCGUCAUUUCAACCCUCAAGCUCUGCUUGGUGUUGGGGCCCUACAGCUGAUGUAGGCCCUCAAAGGUAGUGGCGGACCCUCCCGGAGCCUCCUUUGCGUAGUAACUUUACGUCUCGCACUGGGAUCCGGAGGGACUCUUGCCGUAAAACCCCCAAUUUUCCAAAGGUUGACCUCGGAUCAGGUAGGAAUACCCGCUGAACUUAAGCAUAUCAAUAAGCGGAGGAA